GAUGAACGCUGGCGGCGUGCCUAAUACAUGCAAGUCGAACGGGGGUGUUUGAGCAAUCGGACACUUAGUGGCGAACGGGUGAGUAACGCGUUGGUGACCUGCCCCAAAGCGGGGGAUAACAGCCUGAAAGGGUUGCUAAUACCGCAUAUGAUGAUGAGAGACUAGAAACUUAUCAUUAAAGGAGAAAUCCACUUUGGGAGGGGCCUGCGUCCCAUCAGCUAGUUGGUAGGGUAAAAGCCUACCAAGGCGAAGACGGGUAGGGGACCUGAGAGGGUGACCCCCCACAAUGGAACUGAAACACGGUCCAUACACCUACGGGUGGCAGCAGUAGGGGAUAUUGCACAAUGGGGCGGAAGCCUGAUGCAGCAACGCCGCGUGAGUGAUGAAGGCCCUCGGGUCGUAAAACUCUUUUACAAGAGGAAGAGGAAGGACGGUACUCUUGGAAUAAGCCUCGGGCUAACUACGUGCCAGCACGCCGCGGUAAAAGUCACGUCG
rnacentral:rRNA from 1 species